CACACACACACACACACACACACAUAUAUAUAUAUAUGUUCGUAUUCAGAUUGUCUGAAUGAGGCUUCAAAAGAACUCAAGAUUACCAGAUACUCCGUCCUUCCUGGUCAUACUGAUAAAGAAAAAUGAAGGUGGUGAUUCUGAUGGCCCUUCUUGUGCUCACAGCUCACUGUGUACCAGUAUCAAGAUUCCCUGGCAAGAUUUUCCUCUACUGUCCUUUCUUCAACCGGAAGCACUGCCAGAGGUUCUGUGAAUUCUUUAAAAUCUGUAGGAAGCCGCCACUGAGCAGAAGAACUACUGUGGUCCCAUCAUUCCCACUCACAACAGAAGCUGACCUUUCUCUGACUGGGGGUCCUCUUACUCCCGACAGGCGGGGAGAUUCAAGAUAGUAGGGUUCCUCACAGCCCAGAAAAGCCUCUUCCCCCACACAGUGCCCAUGCUACAGUCGGAUCAUGCUUCCAGCUCCUUCCUGCACCACAGUGACUCCUCCCUACCUGAUGUGUCAAUAAAAAGCUUACAUUA
rnacentral:lncRNA from 1 species